ensembl:lncRNA
AUGCUGGUAUGUGCUUUGGAAUCACUUAAAUCAUACACGUGCGCAUUCUGCUGUCUUCUCUAUGCAGGAGAGACAGGAAGAGAGGAAGAGUUAAGAUUCUGUUUUGACAGUACAGGGGAGAGAGUAUGAAUAUCUUCCCCCCUCUUCCUUCCCCGUCAGCAAUAAUGACUCAUUCCACCAUCAUUUAGCACUUACUCCAUUCUGCUCAAAUUACUGUUAGCUGUUAACACAUCUGUCUCCCUUUGUCAUUAAUUUAUUCAUUCAGCUGACAAUUACUGAAAGUCUCGAAAGCGUCAGCCGCAGGGAGGGGGUGAUAGGAGGGAGUUAACCAAUAAAAAUGAGUGAACUGGGCUUCUUUCCUCCCAUAGCGUAGAACCUCAUCAGGGAGAAAGACAGAUCUCUAACAAUGUGGUCUCAUUUGGUCCUGUGCCUCCAGGGCCUGGGUUCUGAUAAAAAUGGCAGCACUGGAGCUGAGCAAGGUAUCUACUUCACGGGGUUUUUCUGAGGAUGAACACAGUCCACACAUGGCACCAUGCUAACAAGAAUGAGGCAUAAGCUGACACCUGUGGGACUCCUAAAAGGGCUCACGUGCUGGCUUUCAGAGCCUGGGAGUCAGAGGGGAGAAACUGAAGACUGAGGACUGGUUUCUCAGAGACCUCCAGAGGAGAGGACCUCGGACAGAUCAGCUGGUUUUCUAAACUGGUUGCUUCAGACUGUGGGUCAGAGUUCUAUUUUUGUAUGUGGUCUGGCCACUGUCCAUCAGUACAUUCAGUCUCUGAGGUCUCCACGGCCUUCCACCGAAGCCACUACCUGCGCUGUCGCCCGUUGCCACGGAUGCAGGAACACCUGUGCAUCUGUGCUUGCCGGAACAAGGACGCCCACAGAGGGGCUUUCCUGCCAAGGAACAACUCCAGUAAAACUGCACAGCGCCGGUGGUUCCUGGCUGGCAACCGAAAGCCAGUGUUCCAUCCCUUCUAACAUGCUGUGUCUGACUUGGGUUCAUUCUCACCACCUCCAAGAGUCUUACUAGGUCUUGGGUCCAUUUGCAUCUGAUUUACAUGUGCUUUACAUGUGUCUGCAAGACAGCUAUUGAUUUCUAGCUUGUUCUGUAGUGGCUGGAUUCCAUUCCUCUGAAAGCAGGGGUAUUUUUUUUUUUUAAUUAAUUGAAGUACAGUUUAUUUACCAUGUUGUGUUUAAUUUCUGCUGUACAGUAAAGUGAUUCAGCUAUAUAUAUUCUCUUCCAUUAUGGUUUACCACAGGAUAUUAAAGAGAGUUCCCUGUGUUAUACACUAGGACUUUGUUGUUUAUUCAUCCUAUGUAUAAUAGUUUGUAUCUGCUAAUGUCAGACUCCCAAUCCUUCCCUCCCCUUGGCAACCACAGGUCUGUUUUCUAUGUCUGUGACUAUUUCUGUUUCAUAUAUAUAUGUUCACUUGUAU